rnacentral:rRNA from 1 species
UAGCCGUAAACGAUACUCGCUAGGUGUCGGCCACGGUGCGACCGUUGUCGGUGCCGUGGGGAAGCCGUGAAGCGAGCCACCUGGGAAGUACGGCCGCAAGGCUGAAACUUAAAGGAAUUGGCGGGGGAGCACAACAACGGGUGGAGCUUGCGGUUUAAUUGGAUUCAACGCCGGAAAUCUUACCGGGACCGACAGCAACAUGAAGGCCAAGCUGAAGACUUUGCCGGAUUAGCUGAGAGGAGGUGCAUGGCGUAGUCGUGU